rnacentral:tRNA from 1 species
GUGCCCUUAGCUCAGCUGGAUAGAGCGUCUGACUACGGAUCAGAAGGUCGAGAGUUCGAAUCUUUCAGGGCACGCCA